CAAAGCAUUCCAAAUUUCGCAUCCCAUUUGCUAAAUUCCACCCUCUUAAAAUCUUGCGAGUACUCCUAAUUGUUCAACCUUCCCUCCACAUUUAUGGCAGCGGGUUACACUAACACCAACUCCAUUUCCAAGUACCGCGAUUUAUUUUAUUUUAUUUUCCUCUUUUUCAUUUCGUUUUCCGAAAAAAACUCAGACAGCAUAGAAGCGAAGCAAAACAAAUCAAAACAACUUUCGCAUAACGCAUUGCAUUGCGAUUGUUGCAAUUGGAAGAAGGAAAAAGAAAAAUUUCAGAGACUCACACAACAGACGCCACUGUCAGAUCCAAAUCGGUUUCCACUCUCAGAUCCGAAUUCAGUCAAACUGGAUCCGCUUGAGUUUCCAAACAUGAACCCCUUCUCUUCUCCCUCGCGUUUGAGGGACAUGAUUCAGGCCAUACGUGCUUGCAAAACUGCAGCAGAAGAACGUGCUGUUGUAAGAAAAGAAUGUGCUACCAUUCACGCCGCAAUAGAUGAAAAUGAUCCAGACUAUAGGCACUGGAAUCUGGCUAAGCUAAUGUUCAUCCACAUGCUUGGCUACCCCACUCAUUUUGGUCAAAUGGAGUGCCUCAAGUUGAUAGCAUCUCCUGGAUUUCCAUAGAAGAGAAUGGGUUACCUUGGCCUAAUGUUGCUUCUCGAUGAAAGACAAGAGGUUCUAAUGUUGGUCACCAAUUCUUUGAAACAAGAUCUUAAUCACACAAAUCAAUAUAUAGUGGGACUUGCUCUUUGUGCUUUAGGAAAUAUUUGUUCAGCUGAAAUGGCUCAUGAUCUUGCACCAGAGGUUGAGAGAUUGCUGCAUUUUCGAGAUCCAAAUAUUCGGAAGAAGGCAGCAUUGUGCUCUGCAAGAAUCAUAAAGAAAGUUCCAGACUUGGCAGAAAAUUUUGUCAAUCCUGCUACUGCCUUACUAAGGGAGAAGCACCAUGGAGUUUUGAUUACUGGGGUUCAGCUUUGUACAGAGCUGUGCAAAAUUAGCUCAGAAGCUCUUGAACAUGUUAGAAAGGUUUCACUAAUUGGGUUCCUGCUAGUGGCCAGUCGGAUGGUGACCGAGUUAGAUGCUGUUGAUGUUGUAGAGGUUGCUCUAAAACACCAUGCAUCAGAUCUUACCACGAAACAAUGGCUUUGGUUGCCCUAUUAAAGCUGUCUUCACGGUUCCCUUCUUGUUCAGAGAGAAUCAGGGAAAUAAUCGUUCAGUGCAAAGGGAACCUUGUGUUGGAGUUGCAGCAAAGAUCCAUAGAAUUCAAUUUGAUUAUUGCAAAGCAUCAAAAUAUCAGGCAUACACUUGUAGAGAGGAUGCCAGUUUUGGAUGAGGCAACUUUCCUUGCUAGGAGGGCUGGAUCUUUACCAGAUGUAGCUUUAACAUCGACAGGACCUUCAGUUGGUCUUCCAAAUGGAGCUGGCAAACCUGUGGCUCCUAUUGUAGAUCUUCUUGAUAUAAAUUCAGAUGAUGCCCCUGUACCAACCUCUUCUGGUGGCGAUCUUCUUCAGGACCUUCUUGGUGUUGAUCUGUCACUGGCAUCACAACAGUCUGGCGCUAGUCAACCUUCAAGAAAUGGCACAGAUGUUCUUUUGGAUCUAUUAUCUAUUGGAUCAGUUUCUGCAUCUAUUGAAUCACCUGUACAAAGAAACUCAUCUACAAUAGACAUAUUGUCCCCCAAACCAAGUAAACAGGCACCACUUUCACCAUUAGAUGAUCUAUCAUCACUUUCACUUUCUUCAAGAGCAACAGAAAACGCUGGAGCUGCUCCCACGAUGGAUUUAUUAGAUGGAUUUUCCCCCAGCCCACCAACAGAAGAAAACAAUGAACUGGUUUAUCCAUCUAUAACUGCAUUUGAGAGUAGCUCCUUGAGGUUGGUGUUCAAUUUCUCAAAACAGCCUGGAAACUCGCAAACAACCAAUAUUCAGGCCACCUUUACAAAUUUGACCAUAAAUCUAUAUACAGAUUUUGUUUUUCAGGCAGCAGUCCCAAAGUUUCUGCAGUUGCACUUAGACCCAGCUAGCGGCAAUACUCUCCCUACUAGUGGAAAGGGGUCCAUCACACAAAAUAUGAAAGUUACUAAUAGCCAACAUGGAAAGAAAUCUCUUGUCAUGCGCAUAAAGAUAGCAUACAAGAUAAAUGGCAAAGAGACACAGGAAGAAGGACAAAUUAAUAAUUUUCCUCGUGAUUUAUGCGGCCAGUUGGUCAGUGGUCUAUCUAGUUAUGCACGAAGCCCUAUAUAUUUUCCGCACUUUAUAAUCGCUUGUUCAAUAUUCAUGAUCCAAUCUUUCACAUGAGGUCUCAGUAUGGUUAAUGCAUUUAACCGGGCCACUUUUUGGAACAAAGUUGUCUAUUUGGCGGCUUCACAUCUUCACUAUAGAAUUUUCCCCCUUAGGUUGUUUAUGUAACCAUUAGUACAAAAUAUUCCUGUAUAAAAAUGUUGAAACCAAUUUUUUCUUUUCGAGGCACAAAGUAUUGUAUUACGCUGAGUUCUUUCUGUGCUUACUAUAUUCUCUAAAGGUAGUCUGUUGGUCAAUGUGUUUCAGGUUCUAAGUGUUGCAUGCA